CCCGACCCCAAUUCCUCUCUGAGCUCUUCUUUUCUCUCGAACCCCGACCCCAAUUCCUCCUCCUCCGCUUCAAUCCCGACCCCAAUUCCUCCUCCUCCGCCUCCUCCACCGCCGCCUCAACCGCCUCUCGAACCCAGAGCCUCCUCCGCCUCCUCCUCCGCCGCCUCAACCGCCUCUUGCCUCUCAGAAGAUCCUGUUCUAUGUUUGUCGCAACUGUGAUCAUCAGAUCUUAAUGUUGUUUGCCUUCGUUUCUUACCGAUCUGAAGAUCAGCGGGCUUAUGAAAGGUAUUUUUAUGAAGUUUCUCUUCUAUAAAUUUCAUUAUAUAAAAUCAAUAAUGAGUGACAGUUCAAAAGAUAUAAAUGUAGAAAAAUGAUAGGAAAGGAAAUUUAAAGGAUACACAAGCAUAUUUUCGAAUGUUUUCUCCAUGUAAUAUCACUCUUGUACAACAUAAGCUUGCUUUCGAAGGAUUCCUGUUGAUGUUCACAAAAUAUUAUCUAUAUCCAGAGUAUUUCUAUUGUGGCAUUUUAAGGCGAGUUGUGAAGAUUAUUCAUAAUACAGGUGAUGUAUUCUUUGAGUUCUUUGCGCUUGGCAUAGUAAAAAAAAUACAUGAUUGGUAAUUUUAAUGCUAUCUUGUUCAAUAUGUUCAUGCUAUUCCUGAAUGGGUUAUAUACAUGCCUGUGCAUAUUUUGAUAAUUCAAAAAGUUUGAAAAAACCCCCUAAAUUUUACAAAAAGUCCCCAAUAGUUUACAAAAUCCCCCCUAAAAGUUUACAAAAAACACCCUAAAA